rnacentral:siRNA from 1 species
CGGCCGUCGGUGCAGAUCUUG